UACGAAGGGGCUAGCGUUGCUCGGAAUCACUGGGCGUAAAGGGUGCGUAGGCGGGUCUUUAAGUCAGGGGUGAAAUCCUGGAGCUCAACUCCAGAACUGCCUUUGAUACUGAAGAUCUUGAGUUCGGGAGAGGUGAGUGGAACUGCGAGUGUAGAGGUGAAAUGCGUAGAUAUCUGGAGGAACACCGGUGGCGAAGGCGGCAUCCUGGACCGAGAUUGACGCUGAGGCGCGAAAGCCAGGG
rnacentral:rRNA from 1 species